AAUCAAAGAACCAGAGAUCAGCUAUUGUUUUUUUCUGUUUAUUUUCUGUAGCAUCCUCACUGGAACUUCUCCAACUCAUUCUGGCAGGUUGGGUUUCCAAAACAGCUCCCUCAGCUCCAAGGUUCAUCGAAGUCCA
rnacentral:lncRNA from 1 species